AUGCCAUGAUAAGGACAUCUUUUGAGCAACUCCUUAAAUCUUUCCCAAGCCUUAUACAAGCUCUCAUCUUCAAGUUGAUGAAAAUGGGUGAUCUCAUUCCGCAAUUU
rfam:Citrus sinensis cultivar Ridge Pineapple sweet orange scaffold00888_contig_6, whole genome shotgun sequence.